rnacentral:rRNA from 1 species
UACGUAGGGGGCGAGCGUUGUCCGGAUUUAUUGGGCGUAAAGAGCUCGUAGGCGGCUUGGCAAGUCGGGUGUGAAACCUCCAGGCUUAACCUGGAGACGCCACUCGAUACUGCCAUGGCUAGAGUCCGGUAGGGGACCACGGAAUUCCUGGUGUAGCGGUGAAAUGCGCAGAUAUCAGGAGGAACACCGGUGGCGAAGGCGGUGGUCUGGGCCGGCACUGACGCUGAGGAGCGAAAGCGUGGGGAGCGAACAGG